UCUCUGUACCGACGACAAUGACCGCGUGUCGUGCAGCUUUCGUUUCGACAGCGUAGUCCGUGAACCGGUGUCCCGUAGCGACUUUGUCGUGACCGCCUUUGCUUGAUUGACGGACGUCGAGGGCGAAGCAGAGCGAAGAUGCUGCAAUGCGCUGCUUUGCCACAACAAGAGCAACACAGUAGGAUGACUAAAGGACGUAACACUUCUGGACGGGAAUGAUAUGUUGAAGAAUUGUUUUCAAAUGUACAAUAAGGAAGAUAUUGGCAUUCUCCUUGCACCAUCAUCUGCGAGCUGCAAAGGCUCUCCACCUAAAGUAUGACAAGGAAGCAGUAGACUCAUCAUUCACGAUGCCUAUUUUAUGUGCUUCCAAGGGAUGCGGCCAAAGGAUGACCUGCGGAAUAUUUGUGCGCUCGAUCGGCGCCGCAAUCUCCCGAGCAAAGUUCACCUUUGCUGAAGAUCCAAGCGUAAGAAACUGAAGCAGCAGACUGCUUCAAGCCAUGAUCUGUGCGAAUCACCUUUAUGGGAGCUGCAAAAAAGAAUAAAAAAGUGUAUCCCCAGUGUUUAUGUACUUUUAUUAUACUGUAACAGUAUAUUUCUGAACAAACCAUCUGAAACAUGGUGGAUCGGUAGCACUGCAGAAAGCCGAUGAAUGCUUGUGAAAACAUGGAAAUACACAAAGCAGCAUACGAUCUUACCA
rnacentral:lncRNA from 1 species